AUUGAACGCUGGCGGCAGGCCUAACACAUGCAAGUCGAGCGGAGCGGCGGACGGGUGAGUAAUGUCUGGGAAUCUGCCUGGUAGUGUGGGAUAACGUCCGGUAACGGGCGCUAAUACCGCAUACUACCAGAUGAGCCUAGGUCGGCUUAGCUAGUUGGUGGGGUAAAGGCCUACCAAGGCGACGCUCCGUAACUGGUCUGGGAGGAUGAUAAGUCACACUGGAACUGAGACACGGUCCAGACUCCUACGGGAGGCAGCAGUGGGGAAUAUUGGACAAUGGGCGAAAGCCUGAUCCAGCCAUGCCGCGUGUGUGAAGAAGGUCUUCGGAUUGUAAAGCACUUUAAGUUGGGAGGCGUUACCAACAGAAUAAGCACCGGCUAACUCCGUGCCAGCAGCCGCGGUAAUUC
rnacentral:rRNA from 1 species